rnacentral:rRNA from 1 species
UUAUUUGAGAGUUUGAUCCUGGCUCAGGAUGAACGCUGGCGGCGUGCCUAACACAUGCAAGUUGAGCGAUUUACUUCGGUAAAGAGCGGCGGACGGGUGAGUAACGCGUGGGUAACCUACCCUGUACACACGGAUAACAUACCGAAAGGUAUGCUAAUACGGGAUAAUAUAUUUGAGAGGCAUCUCUUGAAUAUCAAAGGUGAGCCAGUACAGGAUGGACCCGCGUCUGAUUAGCUAGUUGGUAAGGUAACGGCUUACCAAGGCGACGAUCAGUAGCCGACCUGAGAGGGUGAUCGGCCACAUUGGAACUGAGACACGGUCCAAACUCCUACGGGAGGCAGCAGUGGGGAAUAUUGCACAAUGGGCGAAAGCCUGAUGCAGCAACGCCGCGUGAGUGAUGAAGGCCUUCGGGUCGUAAAACUCUGUCCUCAAGGAAGAUAAUGACGGUACUUGAG